ACGAACGCUGGCGGCGUGCUUCACACAUGCAAGUCGCACGGAAAGGCCCUGCUUUUGUGGGGUGCUCGAGUGGCGAACGGGUGAGUAACACGUGAGUAGCCUGCCCUUGACUUUGGGAUAACUUCAGGAAACUGGGGCUAAUACCGGAUAGGAGCUCCUGCUGCAUGGUGGGGGUUGGAAAGUUUCGGCGGUUGGGGAUGGACUCGCGGCUUAUCAGCUUGUUGGUGGGGUAGUGGCUUACCAAGGCUUUGACGGGUAGCCGGCCUGAGAGGGUGACCGGCCACAUUGGGACUGAGAUACGGCCCAGACUCCUACGGGAGGCAGCAGUGGGGAAUAUUGCACAAUGGGCGGAAGCCUGAUGCAGCAACGCCGCGUGCGGGAUGACGGCCUUCGGGUUGUAAACCGCUUUCGCCUGUGACGAAGCGUGAGUGACGGUAAUGGGUAAAGAAGCACCGGCUAACUACGUG
rnacentral:rRNA from 1 species